rnacentral:siRNA from 1 species
UGAUCUAAGUAGGCUUAGCUA